rnacentral:rRNA from 1 species
AUCAACGCUGGCGGCGUGCCUAACACAUGCAAGUCGAACGCGAAAAGUCCCGAAAGGGAUCAGUAGAGUGGCAAACGGGUGAGUAACACGUGGGUGACCUGCCUUCGAGCGGGGGAUAACGUCCCGAAAGGGACGCUAAUACCGCAUGACAUCCUGCCUUUCAAGAGGCGGUGAUCAAAGCUGGGGGAUCGCAAGACCUAGCACUCGGAGAGGGGCCCGCGUCCGAUUAGCUAGUUGGUGGGGUAACGGCUCACCAAGGCAACGAUCGGUAGCCGGCCUGAGAGGGCGGACGGCCACACUGGGACUGAGACACGGCCCAGACACCUACGGGUGGCAGCAGUCGAGAAUUUUUCACAAUGGGGGAAACCCUGAUGGAGCGACGCCGCGUGGGGGAUGAAUGGCUUCGGCCCGUAAACCCCUGUCAUUCGGGAUCAAUGCCUGCGGCAUAAUACGUUGCAGGUUGAUAGUACCGGAAGAGGAAGGGACGGCUAACUCUGUGCCAGCAGCCGCGGUAAUACAGAGGUCCCAAGCGUUGUUCGGAUUUACUGGGCGCAAAAAGGUGCGUAGGUGGCGGGGUAAGUCGGAUGUGAAAUCUCCAGGCUCAACCUGGAAAUGGCAUUGGAAACUACCUUGCUGGAGAGUUGGAGGGAGGACUGGAAUACUUGGUGUAGCAGUGAAAUGCGUAGAUAUCAAGUGGAACACCAGUGGCGAAGGCGAGUCCCUGGACAACUCCUGACGCUGAGGCACGAAAGCUAGGGGAGCAAACAGGAUUAGAUACCCUGGUAGUCCUAGCCCUAAACGGUGCACGUUUGCUGUAAAAGGAAUCGACCCCUUUUGUGGCGAAGCUAACGCGUUAAACGUGCCGCCUGGGAAGUACGGUCGCAAGAUUAAAACUCAAAGAAAUUGACGGGGGCCUGCACAAGCGGUGGAGUAUGUGGCUCAAUUCGAUACAACGCGAAGAAACCUUAUCUGGCCUUGACAUGCAUAUAGUAGAAGGGUGAAAGCCUGACGAGGUAGCAAUACCAGUAUGCACAGGUGCUGCAUGGCUGUCGUCAGCUCGUGUCGUGAGAUGUUGGGUUAAGUCCCGCAACGAGCGCAACCCCUGCGUCCUGUUGCCACCCGGUCGAGAGACUGGAGCACUCUGGACGGACUGCCUCGCUUCAACGAGGAGGAAGGUGGGGAUGACGUCAAGUCAGUAUGGCCCUUACGGCCAGGGCUGCACACGUACUACAAUGCCCGGCACAAAGGGAAGCAAGACCGCGAGGUGGAGCAAAUCCCCAAAAAACCGGGCCCAGUUCAGAUUGAAGGCUGCAACUCGCCUUCAUGAAGCUGGAAUCGCUAGUAAUGGCGCAUCAGCUACGGGCGCCGUGAAUACGUUCCCAGGCCUUGUGCACAACCGCCCGUCACAUCAUGAAAGCCGUUUGUACCCGAAGUCGCCCCUUAUAAGGUGCCGAAGGUAUGGAUGGUGAUUGGGAUGAAGUCGUAACA